rnacentral:lncRNA from 7 species
AGAAAGACGGAAGAAAGUCUCUUUUGUGCAGCCUGAAUUGCCUUGCACAGCACACACCGAAACCCCAGGCUGAGGUGCAGCAAGGGCAGCCCCAGCAAUUUGCGAGCACGCAGAGACAGACCGAGCUAUGCUUCCCUUUCAUUACCCAGAGGAAGAGGCAGAAGGAACAGCAGGGAUGCAGAGGGGAACCUCCUUGGAGAACAGGAGGAGUGAUUGCUGCAGGGGUUUUGCAGCAGGAGGACCUGGAAGGCAAUGGCUGCAUCACCCCACAAAGCUCUCGCAGUGCUGGUGGGAAAACUGAGGCACAGGGCAGCGUGGCUGGGAGCCUUCAGCAGCACAACAGCUCCAGGGGACCCUUAGGGGAAACAAACCUGGGCUGCACAGCCCCAAAAGCCUCAGGUUUAAGAGGAAACACAUUUCUCUCAAUGGUUUUCACUUAAAAAAAAAAAAAAAAAGGAAAACAAAAGUCAAAGUGAGGACAAAUGUUUCCAAAGGUCACAAGAAAACACAGAACCUCAAAAUAGAAAAGCAGUGGCUGAGGGCUAUCAGAGCAAUCUGUUCGAUGGGCCUCCAACAAAGCACUUCUGAAUUCAGCAGUUGCGGAGGGGUUUUCAGAAGGAUUGGUUAACAUCCCCCAAAGGAGACAAUGUUUUUAUUCCAAAAUUGCCAGCAAACCAAAAAAUUUCAUUUUCCUCCAUCUCUAUUUGUAAGUGAAUAUUCACUGGGAUAUUUGAUAGCUGUAAUUUACUCUUCGAGCUGUGUAAUUAGCCACCUCAAUCAAAUGGCAUCAUUUCUAUCUUUGCUCAAUGAAGAACCGCUCCGCUGCAAACCAGACCUGAGCGCAGCACAGGGCUGGGACCACUGCCCACAGCCAACACUGCCUUCCUCUCGAGACUCAGCCUUGUUUGGGGAUGGAAAGCCUCUGGAAUUAAAAGGUGGGGCAGAACAGUGAGGCAUGGGUCACACGGAGGGGUAGGAGGUAGGAACUUGGCGGGGGGGGGGGGUGGAUUUUGGUGGAUUUUCCCUUACUUGAGGCAGUUUGGGACAUGGGAGAAGACAGGGAUGGAGGUGCAGGGGUAUACCCAGAGGUUCUCCUUUUUGGCAUCUGUGAGCAUCGCAGAAACAUCACUGUACAGUUAUUCAGUUUUAUGGACCUUCAAUCAAACAAAGAGAGGUUUUCCCAGGGCGGAGAGGAGCCGCUGAUUCAUUCAGCUUUUGUGCCAUUUAUUUCUGGGCACAACCCCUGCAGCAGGGGAGGCAAAGCGCAUGGCCAAGGCUGCAGGGACCCCACUCCCUUCUUUUGCUGGAGCUCUUACACUGAAUGCUGCCUUCAGAGCCCCGGCCCUCGUCUCCUUGCUGGCACAGUUGAAAGAGAGAACUUUUCUUUCCCGUUCUCCUAUAGCAAUAACAAUCCCUUGUUAACACAAUAAAAUUAAUCCUUGUGCU